GGAGAAGGGCUCUGUCCCGGACGCAGAAGGUGAGGGAGAACAGCGGGGUCCGCAAGGGGGCCGAGAGGGGCAGGGUCCAGCCCCAGCUGUGGUGGUGGUGGUGGACCAGGAAGCCGUGCAGCUCAGGGUCCCUCCCACCCAGGUCUGCAGCAUGCCCCCAGGAGAGGGCAGGGCUCCCUGGGGCCGGCCCAGCCAGCAGCGCCGGCCCCAGGGACUCGGGGAGGCAGCCAGGGUCCCCUCUUGUCCAGGCAACCUCCUGGGCAGUUCGGAGGUCUGGCAGCUCAUCUGGAGGGCCCUUCGCUGUCCUGGGGUUUGUGGGGAUGGUGCAUUCUCGCCCACAGGCCGUCAGCUGGUGGGCCCACUCAGGAGUCCGCCUGGCCCACCCGAUGGGAGCCACUCUCCCACGGCCCACCCCCACAGUGGCCAGAACUAGCAACUGAGUGCUUAGCCUAGGACAGGGCCAGGCAGGAGGACCAUGUCCAGGGGGAGGACCGUGUCCAGGCAAGAGGACCGUGUCCAGGAGGAGGACCGUGUCCAGGAGGAGGACCGUGUCCUGGGGAGGACCAUGGUGUCCAGGGUGUGGCCUUUCACAGCUGCCCUCUGGUUCUGGCCCAUCUUGGUCUGAGCACUGAUUCCUGGGGAGCCAGGCCCGGCCUGAGAUAGCUCCCGUCUCACCCCAGGUGGCCCGGGGUGGCCCAGGUGGCAGUCAGCCUGCCAGCAGAGCUGGAUGGGAGCUGAUGGUACUUACUCGGCCGCCCCUAGGCUGCUGGGGGUGAGCAUGAGGUGGGCCCAGGGGCGGGUGCAGGCCCAGGGGCGGGUGCAGGCAGGGCCUCUGGGUGCCUCCCCUGGGAACCGGGACGGGGUGGGCAUGAGGCUGGCUACCCCAGAGAUAGGAGUUGACCUUUGUACCCCCAGAACACCCCAAGGAGCUCUUGCCCCAGGAGGGUCUUGGGCAGGGGAUCCAGUUCCCAGGCUCUGUUGAGUCCUCCCCUGAGCCCCUCUCCUGAUUUGUGACCCCCCCCCCAGGGAGGGGAACACUGCCCUUCACUGGACCCCUUAAUAAUAUGCAUUGAUAGGAAGGAAGGAGCAUCCUCUGUGGUCUCUGUGGGGAGGGUAAUGACAGACUGACCAAGGGAGAGGG
rnacentral:lncRNA from 1 species